UUGUUGGUUUGUCACAGCCAAGGUAAUGACUAAGGGAGACAGUCGGGGGCAUCUGUACUGCAGCGCUAGAGGUGAAAUUCUUGGACCGUUGCAAGACAAACAACAGCGAAAGCAUUUGCCAAGUAUGUUUUCAUUAAUCAAGAACGAAAGUUAGAGGUUCGAAGGCGAUCAGAUACCGCCCUWGUUCUAACCAUAAACGAUGCCAACCAGCAAUCUAUCAAGUGUUAUAUCCAUGACCUGAUAGGCAGCUUCUGGGAAACCAAAGUCUUUGGGUUCCGGGGGAAGUAUGGUUGCAAAGCUGAAACUUAAAGGAAUUGACGGAAGGGCACCACCAGGAGUGGAGCCUGCGGCUUWAUUUGACUCAACACGGGGAACCUCACCAGGCCCAGACACCGGAAGGAUUGACAGAAUGAGAGCUCUUUCUCGAUUCGGUGGGUGGUGGUGCAUGGCCGUUCUUAGUUGGUGGAGUGAUUUGUCUGGUUAAUUC
rnacentral:rRNA from 1 species